AAGGGCACCACAAGAACGCGUGGAGCAUGUGGCUUAAUUUGACUCAACGCGGGAAACCUUACCGGGUCCGGACACACUGAGGAUUGACAGGCGAAAAAAGAUGCCUUAAAAACAUCUUAUAUGUAAAAUAUGCUAGUCCUUUCAUGAUUGUGUGAUAGGUGGUGCAUGGCCGUUCUUAGUUCGUGGAGUGAUCUGUCUGCUUAAUUGCGUUUCAGAUAAAAAGAAUAUAUAUUCUAUUAUAUUAUGUGUUAUGCAUAUAUAUAUGAUACAUUAUAUAUUUCUUACUGUGUUGAAAGCAACGAACGUGACCGCAACCCAUUGUUAUCUCUUUUUAUAGAGAGACAAACUAUGGGAACCGCCAGAGUAUUUAACUCGGAGGAAGAGUGCGGCAAUAACAGGUCUGUGAUGCCCUUAGAUGUUCCGGGCUGCACACGUGCUACAAUGAUUGUUGCAGAAAGCAUCUACUUUUUAAAUAUGGCACACACUUAACGGUAUGUGUUAUAUUUACCUGCAUCGAAAGUAAAUUUAAAUUGCAGUGGUAAUCACUUCUAAGUGACAAUCUUCUUUUUGCAUAAUAUAUAUGUGUGAACAUAUGUAUUAUCUCUAUUAUAAUUCUCGGUAGGGACAGACCAUUGCAAUAUAAGUGAAAUUGUUGGUCUCGCUCUCAACUAGGAAUGCCUUGUACGGGUCUUUGGUUCAUCAAACCACCCGGAAUACGUCCCUGCCCUUUGUACACACCGCCCGUCGCUCUUACCGAUGGACUGCCCUGUGAGUUUGAGGGACUGAUCAAAAUAACCUUGUGUUCUUUUCAUUGGAAACUUAAACGAACAGUGUGGUCUAAAGGAAAGAGAAGUCGUAACAAGGCAUCGGUAGGUGAACCU
rnacentral:rRNA from 1 species